ensembl:misc_RNA Y_RNA Y RNA
GACUAGUCUGAAGGUAGUAAGUCAUCUCAAACUUGAUUGUUCAUUAAGUUACAGACUGAACUCCUUGUUCUACUCUUUAUCCCCUCUUACUACUACACUUGACUAGUCUUAA